AAUCUGCCCUGCACUCUGGGACAAAGCCCUGGAAAACGGGGUCUAAUACCGGAUAUGACACAUGAGGGCAUCCUCGUGUGUGGAAAGCUCCGGCGGUGCAGGAUGAGCCCGCGGCCUAUCAGCUAGUUGGUGGGGUAGUGGCCUACCAAGGCGACGACGGGUAGCCGGCCUGAGAGGGCGACCGGCCACACUGGGACUGAGACACGGCCCAGACUCCUACGGGAGGCAGCAGUGGGGAAUAUUGCACAAUGGGCGAAAGCCUGAUGCAGCGACGCCGCGUGAGGGAUGAAUGCCUUCGGGUUGUAAACCUCUUUCAGUAGGGAAGAAGCCUUCGGGUGACGGUACCUGCAGAAGAAGCACCGGCUAACUACGUGCCAGCAGCCGCGGUAAUACGUAGGGUGCGAGCGUUGUCCGGAAUUAUUGGGCGUAAAGAGCUCGUAGGCGGCUUGUCACGUCGGUUGUGAAAGCCCGGGGCUUAACCCCGGGUCUGCAGUCGAUACGGGCAGGCUAGAGUUCGGUAGGGGAGAUCGGAAUUCCUGGUGUAGCGGUGAAAUGCGCAGAUAUCAGGAGGAACACCGGUGGCGAAGGCGGAUCUCUGGGCCGAUACUGACGCUGAGGAGCGAAAGCGUGGGGAGCGAACAGGAUUAGAUACCCUGGUAGUCCACGCCGUAAACGGUGGGAACUAGGUGUGGGCGACAUUCCACGUCGUCCGUGCCGCAGCUAACGCAU
rnacentral:rRNA from 1 species